CGGUCAUCGUUGUUAAAACCAUUUGCAGAGAUUUUCUUCUUUGUGCUUCUUUUCUCCGAGAUUUACUUCCAUCAUCAUGAGAGAGUAUCAUUGUUGCAAAAAAUAAUUAUAGGAGAAGGUCAUCAAAGGUAUUUAGAUAAAAUAUUAAAGAGAUAACUGGAUAUAUCUUCAAAUAGAGAAUUGGUUUAGCCAAUGAAUUGGGGGAGAAAGGGGAAGACGAGAUCUGAGAUUUGGAAUCAGAAGAGUAAAUUAGGGAUUCAGACAUGAACGAAGCUGGAAAGAAGCAACCAGCUCCUGAGACAAGGUAUGGCGAGGAGAAAAAUAAAAAGAGAGAUAAGAAGAGGAAGAAGAAGAGUGAUGAUUUUAACAAUUUUUUAUGGUUCCAUGAACAAGAUAAAGAUGGCAAGAAGAGAAUAAUUUGAUCAACUUCCUGCAGAAAACCGGGACUCUUGCGAAGUAUGUGAUAGUCUCCAAACAUUAUUCCAUGUUCAUUGCAACGUUUUGCAAGGAACUAACAAUUGUCUUUGGCUUGGUGUUGUUGGCGACAGGAGCAGACUCUGUGUAUUGAUGACAUACGACAUUGUCCUGGAGCUUCUUUUAUCCCGGAUUGCAUAUACAUGAGAGACGCCGACUUGCAACAUUGAGUUCUUCUUCUACUUUUUGACCUCUCAUAUUAGUUUGUUGUAGAAAAUAAUAUCAGUAUAUAUUAAAUGUGCCAGUGUGUUGCAUCGUUAGCAAGGCCUCACAUCUAUUGCCAUGGCAAGUAUGUGAUUAGGUAUAAAACCAAAAAUUAUGUUAAUUGGUUUGGAGGAAUUGACGUUAUUAGAUAAAACAAAUGUUUUAGUAAAUUUGUUUAAGAUCAAAUCUGGAAACCUGUUAAUUGGUGCUCAUGUGGUAAGUUUUAUUCAUCUUUUAGCAUUGACAUCUUUCCAUUUGAUUUUGAGAGAUUGAGGAUCUUAAACAAAGCCAUUAACUUCUAAUGCUCAUACUAUGAAUUUACGAUUCAUACAUAAAGUAGAGAGAUGCUGGGUAAUUGUCUUCAUAACUUUCAUAAUGAAAGUUUCAUUUAGGUGGUCAGUGUGCGUUUACAUAUCAUAUCAUUUUCAAUCUCAAGUAAUAAUAUAGAAACACAAAUAUCUAACCAUUAUUUCUCUGUCUUUUGUUUUUAAUGGGUCGCAAACUGACCAAUAGGGAGUGAGACCAUAUGUGAUAGAGCAGAUCUUGGUUUUCUAUAUAAUGGCCCUGAGAAAAGUUUUUUGGUCGUUUUCAAUCAUAUGAGACUGCUUGCCUUAGUGCCUGCGUGAACACCGGUUUCCCGCGGGUCUCAGGCGUAUAAGGAUAAGAAGAAGACGAAGGGAUAGAGGAAUCAGUAAGAGACAUAUCGAAUCGAUGAGAUUAAGAAGAAUUAGAGAAGAAGAAAGGAAGAGAUAAUGUGUCGGUUUUAGUUUUUUUUUGGGUAAAUAACCUUUAUCUUAUGUACUUUUUUGGUGUCUUAUACUAAGCAUUGUCAUUUUUCCUUUUUUAAAUAACCACCAAUUUGGUUUCUCCAUUAUAAUCUUCAUUUGGUAAUAUAUAA